rnacentral:rRNA from 1 species
CCUACGGGAGGCAGCAGUGAGGAAUAUUGGUCAAUGGCCGGAAGGCUGAACCAGCCAUGCCGCGUGAAGGUCAGUGCCCUAUGGGCGUUAAACUUCUUUUGUGCGGGAGCAAUAAUGGUCACGUGUGGCCAGACGAGAGUACCGUACGAAUAAGCAUCGGCUAACUCCGUUCCAGCAGCCGCGGUAAUACGGGGGAUGCAAGCGUUAUCCGGAGUUAAUGGGUUUAACGUGUGCGUAGGCUGUGAGGUAAGUCAGCGGUGAAAUGCCCCCGCUCAACGGGGUGAAGUGCCAUUGAUACUGCAUGGCUGGAAUGCGGAUGCAGUGGGAGGAAUGGGUGGUGUAGCGGUGAAAUGCAUAGAUAUCACACAGAACACCGAUUGCGAAGGCAUCUCACGAUUCCGCGAUUGACGCUGAUGAACGAAAGCGUGGGUAUCAAACAGGAUUAGAGACCCUAGUAGUC